rnacentral:rRNA from 1 species
UAUGGCGACCGGCGCACGGGUGAGUAACACGUAUCCAACCUGCCGAUGACUCGGGGAUAGCCUUUCGAAAGAAAGAUUAAUACCCGAUGGCAUAGUUCUUCCGCAUGGUAGAACUAUUAAAGAAUUUCGGUCAUCGAUGGGGAUGCGUUCCAUUAGGUUGUUGGCGGGUAACGGCCCACCAAGCCUUCGAUGGAUAGGGGUUCUGAGAGGAAGGUCCCCCACAUUGGAACUGAGACACGGUCCAA